UACGAAGGGUGCAAGCGUUACUCGGAAUUACUGGCGUAAAGCGUGCGUAGGUGGUGAGUUAAGUCUGUCGUGAAAGCCCCGGGCUCAACCUGGGAAUGGCGAUGGAUACUGGCUCGCUAGAGUGCGGUAGAGGAGAGUGGAAUUCCCGGUGUAGCAGUGAAAUGCGCAGAUAUCGGGAGGAACACCCAGUGGCGAAGGCGGCGAUCGUGGGCUGAU
rnacentral:rRNA from 1 species